rnacentral:rRNA from 1 species
UACGUAGGUGGCAAGCGUUGUCCGGAAUUAUUGGGCGUAAAGCGCGCGCAGGCGGCCUCUUAAGUCUGAUGUGAAAGCCCCCGGCUCAACCGGGGAGGGCCAUUGGAAACUGGGAGGCUUGAGUAUAGGAGAGAAGAGUGGAAUUCCACGUGUAGCGGUGGAAAUGCGUAGGAGAUGUGGAGGAACACCAGUGGCGAAGGC